rnacentral:rRNA from 1 species
GGGUUGUGAGGUUAAGCGACUAAGCGUACACGGUGGAUGCCCUGGCAGUCAGAGGCGAUGAAGGGCGUGCUAAUCUGCGAUAAGCGCCGGUAAGGUGAUAUGAACCGUUAUAACCGGCGAUACCCGAAUGGGGAAACCCAGUGUGAUUCGUCACACUAUCAUUAACUGAAUCCAUAGGUUAAUGAGGCGAACCGGGGGAACUGAAACAUCUAAGUACCCCGAGGAAAAGAAAUCAACCGAGAUUCCCCCAGUAGCGGCGAGCGAACGGGGAGGAGCCCAGAGCCUGAAUCAGCAUGUGUGUUAGUGGAAGCGUCUGGAAAGGUGCGCGAUACAGGGUGACAGCCCCGUACACAAAAGCGCAUGUGCUGUGAGCUCGAUGAGUAGGGCGGGACACGUGGUAUCCUGUCUGAAUAUGGGGGGACCAUCCUCCAAGGCUAAAUACUCCUGACUGACCGAUAGUGAACCAGUACCGUGAGGGAAAGGCGAAAAGAACCCCGGCGAGGGGAGUGAAAAAGAACCUGAAACCGUGUACGUACAAGCAGUGGGAGCNNGUGACUGCGUACCUUUUGUAUAAUGGGUCAGCGACUUAUAUUCUGUAGCAAGGUUAACCGUAUAGGGGAGCCGGAGGGAAACCGAGUCUUAACCGGGCGUUAAGUUGCAGGGUAUAGACCCGAAACCCGGUGAUCUAGCCAUGGGCAGGUUGAAGGUUGGGUAACACUAACUGGAGGACCGAACCGACUAAUGUUGAAAAAUUAGCGGAUGACCUGUGGCUGGGGGUGAAAGGCCAAUCAAACCGGGAGAUAGCUGGUUCUCCCCGAAAGCUAUUUAGGUAGCGCCUCGUGAAUUCAUCUCCGGGGGUAGAGCACUGUUUCGGCUAGGGGGCCAUCCCGGCUUACCAACCCGAUGCAAACUGCGAAUACCGGAGAAUGUUAUCACGGGAGACACACGGCGGGUGCUAACGUCCGUCGUGAAGAGGGAAACAACCCAGACCGCCAGCUAAGGUCCCAAAGUCAUGGUUAAGUGGGAAACGAUGUGGGAAGGCCCAGACAGCCAGGAUGUUGGCUUAGAAGCAGCCAUCAUUUAAAGAAAGCGUAAUAGCUCACUGGUCGAGUCGGCCUGCGCGGAAGAUGUAACGGGGCUAAACCAUGCACCGAAGCUGCGGCAGCGANNNNNNNNNNNNNNNNNNNNNNNNNNNNNNNNNNNNNNNNNNNNNNNNUGCUGGAGGUAUCAGAAGUGCGAAUGCUGACAUAAGUAACGAUAAAGCGGGUGAAAAGCCCGCUCGCCGGAAGACCAAGGGUUCCUGUCCAACGUUAAUCGGGGCAGGGUGAGUCGACCCCUAAGGCGAGGCCGAAAGGCGUAGUCGAUGGGAAACGGGUUAAUAUUCCCGUACUUGGUGUUACUGCGAAGGGGGGACGGAGAAGGCUAUGUUGGCCGGGCGACGGUUGUCCCGGUUUAAGCGUGUAGGUGUGUGUUCCAGGUAAAUCCGGUUCACUUUAACACUGAGGCGUGACGACGAGGCACUACGGUGCUGAAGCAACAAAUGCCCUGCUUCCAGGAAAAGCCUCUAAGCAUCAGGUAACACGAAAUCGUACCCCAAACCGACACAGGUGGUCAGGUAGAGAAUACCAAGGCGCUUGAGAGAACUCGGGUGAAGGAACUAGGCAAAAUGGUGCCGUAACUUCGGGAGAAGGCACGCUGACACGUAGGUGAAGUGAUUUACUCAUGGAGCUGAAGUCAGUCGAAGAUACCAGCUGGCUGCAACUGUUUAUUAAAAACACAGCACUGUGCAAACACGAAAGUGGACGUAUACGGUGUGACGCCUGCCCGGUGCCGGAAGGUUAAUUGAUGGGGUCAGCGUAAGCGAAGCUCCUGAUCGAAGCCCCGGUAAACGGCGGCCGUAACUAUAACGGUCCUAAGGUAGCGAAAUUCCUUGUCGGGUAAGUUCCGACCUGCACGAAUGGCGUAAUGAUGGCCAGGCUGUCUCCACCCGAGACUCAGUGAAAUUGAACUCGCUGUGAAGAUGCAGUGUACCCGCGGCAAGACGGAAAGACCCCGUGAACCUUUACUAUAGCUUGACACUGAACAUUGAGCCUUGAUGUGUAGGAUAGGUGGGAGGCUUUGAAGUGUGGACGCCAGUCUGCAUGGAGCCGACCUUGAAAUACCACCCUUUAAUGUUUGAUGUUCUAACGUGGACCCGUAAUCCGGGUUGCGGACAGUGUCUGGUGGGUAGUUUGACUGGGGCGGUCUCCUCCUAAAGAGUAACGGAGGAGCACGAAGGUUGGCUAAUCCUGGUCGGACAUCAGGAGGUUAGUGCAAUGGCAUAAGCCAGCUUGACUGCGAGCGUGACGGCGCGAGCAGGUGCGAAAGCAGGUCAUAGUGAUCCGGUGGUUCUGAAUGGAAGGGCCAUCGCUCAACGGAUAAAAGGUACUCCGGGGAUAACAGGCUGAUACCGCCCAAGAGUUCAUAUCGACGGCGGUGUUUGGCACCUCGAUGUCGGCUCAUCACAUCCUGGGGCUGAAGUAGGUCCCAAGGGUAUGGCUGUUCGCCAUUUAAAGUGGUACGCGAGCUGGGUUUAGAACGUCGUGAGACAGUUCGGUCCCUAUCUGCCGUGGGCGCUGGAGAACUGAGGGGGGCUGCUCCUAGUACGAGAGGACCGGAGUGGACGCAUCACUGGUGUUCGGGUUGUCAUGCCAAUGGCACUGCCCGGUAGCUAAAUGCGGAAGAGAUAAGUGCUGAAAGCAUCUAAGCACGAAACUUGCCCCGAGAUGAGUUCUCCCUGAGACUUAGAGUCUCCUGAAGGAACGUUGAAGACGACGACGUUGAUAGGCCGGGUGUGUAAGCGCAGCGAUGCGUUGAGCUAACCGGUACUAAUGAACCGUGAGGCUUAACCUUACAACGCCGAAG